GGCAUUUUUUCCAGUGAACGUUUGUGGAGGAGCCUGACAGGCCGGAUUUACCGCCAACACCUCUGGAAAAACACACCGACGGAGAAGGAACAUAGGAAAAGAAGGAGGCAGAGGAGCCGAGAGUGGAGGAGGUUCUGUCGUGCAGGAGAAAGAGGAGACGGGUAGAAACAGAAGAGAGAAGGGGGAACCACGUGGAAGAACCAUCCCGUGACAACCGUCCAACUAGCAUGCAUAGGCAGUGAUUCUUCCAACAAGACAGCAGACGACUUACAGACAGUUAGACGGACGGACAUACACAGGACGAUACGAGGAGAUAGACGGAGGGAGGAGAAGCAGAUUUGGAGCAUCAUGCCUGCAGACCGGAACUCUGGAAGAUGGCAGUAGGAUCAUACAAAAAGACCAACUCGGCUGGUUUAACAAAGAUCGGUAAACCUUAAUGUCCACAGAAAUAUAUUUGGCUUCUUCUUAUUCGUUGAUUCAUUCAUUGAAACUUUAAUCGACAAAAAAAAGAGCAGUAAAAUAACCCAAAGAGCCAUUCCAUCCAUGGAAAACCAACCAGAACCUCUUCAGAAACACCUGAUUAUCUCCAGG
ensembl:lncRNA